rnacentral:rRNA from 1 species
AUGGAGACUUAUUGCUGUCGGCAGAGCCGCGAGCAGCCGGAGGGAUCCCAGGGACCACGGGCGGCAGCGGCAGCGGCAGUUUGGGUAGUGGUACCAGAGGCGGCAGCGUCGGCAACCUGGGCACCACAUCCUUCACCUCGUCGACGCCGCCACCGGCGCCGCCAUUCCCUUUCAGCUCCCUCCCGUCGCAGGACGCGAGCACCAUCACCACCAGCAGCAGCAGGAGCGCGACAUCCAGACGCUUCGCCAUUGCUACGCUUUGCUAAUCAAGAACCGGAGAUAUUAUUGGCCCUUUGGUAUGCGCUAUGGUAG